GGUUAAGCGACUAAGCGUACACGGUGGAUGCCCUGGCAGUCAGAGGCGAUGAAGGACGUGCUAAUCUGCGAUAAGCGUCGGUGAGGUGAUAUGAACCGUUAUAACCGGCGAUUUCCGAAUGGGGAAACCCAGUGUGUUUCGACACACUAUCAUUAACUGAAUCCAUAGGUUAAUGAGGCGAACCGGGGGAACUGAAACAUCUAAGUACCCCGAGGAAAAGAAAUCAACCGAGAUUCCCCCAGUAGCGGCGAGCGAACGGGGAGGAGCCCAGAGCCUGAAUCAGUGUGUGUGUUAGUGGAAGCGUCUGGAAAGGCGCGCGAUACAGGGUGACAGCCCCGUACACAAAAAUGCACAUACUGUGAGCUCGAUGAGUAGGGCGGGACACGUGGUAUCCUGUCUGAAUAUGGGGGGACCAUCCUCCAAGGCUAAAUACUCCUGACUGACCGAUAGUGAACCAGUACCGUGAGGGAAAGGCGAAAAGAACCCCGGCGAGGGGAGUGAAAAAGAACCUGAAACCGUGUACGUACAAGCAGUGGGAGCCUCUUAAUGGGGUGACUGCGUACCUUUUGUAUAAUGGGUCAGCGACUUAUAUUCUGUAGCAAGGUUAACCGAAUAGGGGAGCCGAAGGGAAACCGAGUCUUAACUGGGCGUUAAGUUGCAGGGUAUAGACCCGAAACCCGGUGAUCUAGCCAUGGGCAGGUUGAAGGUUGGGUAACACUAACUGGAGGACCGAACCGACUAAUGUUGAAAAAUUAGCGGAUGACUUGUGGCUGGGGGUGAAAGGCCAAUCAAACCGGGAGAUAGCUGGUUCUCCCCGAAAGCUAUUUAGGUAGCGCCUCGUGAAUUCAUCUCCGGGGGUAGAGCACUGUUUCGGCAAGGGGGUCAUCCCGACUUACCAACCCGAUGCAAACUGCGAAUACCGGAGAAUGUUAUCACGGGAGACACACGGCGGGUGCUAACGUCCGUCGUGAAGAGGGAAACAACCCAGACCGCCAGCUAAGGUCCCAAAGUCAUGGUUAAGUGGGAAACGAUGUGGGAAGGCCCAGACAGCCAGGAUGUUGGCUUAGAAGCAGCCAUCAUUUAAAGAAAGCGUAAUAGCUCACUGGUCGAGUCGGCCUGCGCGGAAGAUGUAACGGGGCUAAACCAUGCACCGAAGCUGCGGCAGCGACGCUUAUGCGUUGUUGGGUAGGGGAGCGUUCUGUAAGCCUGUGAAGGUGGCCUGUGAGGGUUGCUGGAGGUAUCAGAAGUGCGAAUGCUGACAUAAGUAACGAUAAAGCGGGUGAAAAGCCCGCUCGCCGGAAGACCAAGGGUUCCUGUCCAACGUUAAUCGGGGCAGGGUGAGUCGACCCCUAAGGCGAGGCCGAAAGGCGUAGUCGAUGGGAAACAGGUUAAUAUUCCUGUACUUGGUGUUACUGCGAAGGGGGGACGGAGAAGGCUAUGUUGGCCGGGCGACGGUUGUCCCGGUUUAAGCGUGUAGGCUGGUUUUCCAGGCAAAUCCGGAAAAUCAAGGCUGAGGCGUGAUGACGAGGCACUACGGUGCUGAAGCGACAAAUGCCCUGCUUCCAGGAAAAGCCUCUAAGCAUCAGGUAACAUUAAAUCGUACCCCAAACCGACACAGGUGGUCAGGUAGAGAAUACCAAGGCGCUUGAGAGAACUCGGGUGAAGGAACUAGGCAAAAUGGUGCCGUAACUUCGGGAGAAGGCACGCUGAUAUGUAGGUGAAGCGACUUGCUCGUGGAGCUGAAAUCAGUCGAAGAUACCAGCUGGCUGCAACUGUUUAUUAAAAACACAGCACUGUGCAAACACGAAAGUGGACGUAUACGGUGUGACGCCUGCCCGGUGCCGGAAGGUUAAUUGAUGGGGUUAGCGGUAACGCGAAGCUCUUGAUCGAAGCCCCGGUAAACGGCGGCCGUAACUAUAACGGUCCUAAGGUAGCGAAAUUCCUUGUCGGGUAAGUUCCGACCUGCACGAAUGGCGUAAUGAUGGCCAGGCUGUCUCCACCCGAGACUCAGUGAAAUUGAACUCGCUGUGAAGAUGCAGUGUACCCGCGGCAAGACGGAAAGACCCCGUGAACCUUUACUAUAGCUUGACACUGAACAUUGAGCCUUGAUGUGUAGGAUAGGUGGGAGGCUUUGAAGUGUGGACGCCAGUCUGCAUGGAGCCGACCUUGAAAUACCACCCUUUAAUGUUUGAUGUUCUAACGUGGGCCCCUUACCGGGGUUGCGGACAGUGUCUGGUGGGUAGUUUGACUGGGGCGGUCUCCUCCUAAAGAGUAACGGAGGAGCACGAAGGUUGGCUAAUCCUGGUCGGACAUCAGGAGGUUAGUGCAAUGGCAUAAGCCAGCUUGACUGCGAGCGUGACGGCGCGAGCAGGUGCGAAAGCAGGUCAUAGUGAUCCGGUGGUUCUGAAUGGAAGGGCCAUCGCUCAACGGAUAAAAGGUACUCCGGGGAUAACAGGCUGAUACCGCCCAAGAGUUCAUAUCGACGGCGGUGUUUGGCACCUCGAUGUCGGCUCAUCACAUCCUGGGGCUGAAGUAGGUCCCAAGGGUAUGGCUGUUCGCCAUUUAAAGUGGUACGCGAGCUGGGUUUAGAACGUCGUGAGACAGUUCGGUCCCUAUCUGCCGUGGGCGCUGGAGAACUGAGGGGGGCUGCUCCUAGUACGAGAGGACCGGAGUGGACGCAUCACUGGUGUUCGGGUUGUCAUGCCAAUGGCACUGCCCGGUAGCUAAAUGCGGAAGAGAUAAGUGCUGAAAGCAUCUAAGCACGAAACUUGCCCCGAGAUGAGUUCUCCCUGACUCCUUGAGAGUCCUGAAGGAACGUUGAAGACGACGACGUUGAUAGGCCGGGUGUGUAAGCGCAGCGAUGCGUUGAGCUAACCGGUACUAAUGAACCGUGAGGCUUAACCUU
rnacentral:rRNA from 1 species